UCGAUUCGGAUUUGGCGACUGCGAAAGAGCGGAGAAAGCUCAAGAGAGCGCAGAGAUGGAGAUAGCCGGUGCCCGGGGGGCUCCGGAUCGCCGGGGACAAUGAUAGUGUUGAUAACAAGUGCUUUGCACUGGAUAUGAGAAUGGGAAUCUUCUCCAAAACCCGAAAGCCCUGCACUGCAAGAAAUUCUAAUUGAAAAUUUUUAAAUUUCAAAUACCCACGCAUUAAAUACAUUUUUGUUUGGAAAACUCAAUGCCCACUGUGAGCCGGCGCUCGUAAAAAUCACAACUCACGAUCAUCGCUGUGAUCUACGGUUUUCAGAUUAAAAUGUAGAACAAUGCGGACCAUGACUUCUAGGAUUUUGUCUUGUGUGUAAAUGAAUGAAUCAAUAAGCUCAAGAGGUUUAAUGAACCAAUAAAAAAUC
ensembl:ncRNA lncRNA:CR44524 long non-coding RNA:CR44524